UAAGGUUCAAUCGAUGCGCGGCGAUCUAGGUCGCUUGUUGGCGCAUUUGCGCUUGUUUCAGCUCGUUUAAGAUCUUCCCUAAGACGAUACGCACAUAUGGUUCACACUUACUGCGCAGAUAGGCCAUGGAUCAUCUGACUCAUCGCAAAAACACGAACGAUAAAAAAAUAAAGACGCCUGAAAUUGGGCUCUUUACCAACCCACAUCUUCCGCCUCACCGCCAGCCAACGCGCUCUCAUGCGCGCUGCACAACCCUGCAAAAUCGACGUCUGCAUACAGGUCAAGGUGCUUGAAGGCGGCGUUGCCGCCUUCAUGGAGCAGUUCAAGGAGGACCCAUCGGUGGUCGAGCUUCCAGAUGGUGGCUGGAACCCCGCUCAGAAGCACUAGAGGACGAGUGGUUGAGUGCUCACCGGAUCUCCGCGUGGAACACCGGGGCAGGGCAGGGCAGGGCGCACGACAGUGCAUGGCCGGGCAGCGCAGACUCCCACAGCCUAGGAUGGCAAGUGCUCUAAAGGCAUAUGUGGCUUCCCGCUGUCAGGGCAGACGCCUUGGUCCUGGUCCUGGCUUGGCGUGUUAAGAAACGACUCGAGACCGUCUGACGCGGACUCAUGCUGCUCGGGGCCAGUGGUGCCGCGCAUGUGAUGUGCCUAGAGGCCAGGAGAGGAGAGAGCAACAGCGAGAGAAGGUAUUGCGCUUAGCAAGUAUGGGCAUGUAUGAUGUUUGCUGGCAUGCCCGGCAUGCACAUGCGCACACGCAUGUGCGCAUGCCGGGGGCACACGCAUGUGCGCAUGGCUUCGGAUGCAUCCAGCGUUGCGAAUGUGGCUGAUGAUACUGACCUCUGCCGCCGAAAUGCUGUUCAUGAAAAUCGCACCGAAGUGUGGAGUCCGUGGAAGUGAUCCGUCUUCAACGCUCUUACGCUCUUAGAUUUGAGUCGUC
rnacentral:lncRNA from 1 species